ensembl:rRNA 5S_rRNA 5S ribosomal RNA
UUCUACGGCCGUACCACCCUGAACACACCCAAUCUCGUCUGAUCUCGGAAGCUAAGCAGGGUUGGGCCUGGUUAGUACUCGGAUGGGAGACCACUUGUACUUCCACUCAGAUAAUCUUUGCAU